AUGCCUAUGUGGGAAAUGAAGUCAGUGCAGUUAACACCGUCAAAAAUCAACGGGUGGCAAGGGAUGGAAAGGAAGCCCGGUGACAAAGAAAUUGCCUUCUUUUUACAAUGCUCAAAGGGAAUGAAGCAGCACAAAGGUUGUGGAGGAGCAACUCCACCUUGCUGCUACAAUGUGUACAACACAAGUGUUGAAGGAACAGCUUCAACGUGCUGCGCUAGAUAUCGCUCUAGAGGCGAAUGUAGGCUGAUAGGGCAGCAAGAGUUCAAUCCAAAACUCCUAGGGCACAAGAUCUACUCCAAGAUCUUAGAUAAGAACAACAAGUUCUAUUAUAGGUAG
rnacentral:rRNA from 1 species